rnacentral:rRNA from 1 species
AAAUUGAAGAGUUUGAUCAUGGCUCAGAUUGAACGCUGGCGGCAGGCCUAACACAUGCAAGUCGAACGGUAACAGGAAGCAGCUUGCUGCUUUGCUGACGAGUGGCGGACGGGUGAGUAAUGUCUGGGAAACUGCCUGAUGGAGGGGGAUAACUACUGGAAACGGUGGCUAAUACCGCAUAACGUCGCAAGACCAAAGAGGGGGACCUUCGGGCCUCUUGCCAUCAGAUGUGCACAGAUGGGAUUAGCUUGUUGGUGAGGUAACGGCUCACCAAGG